AUACAAAGGGCUUCAGCAGCAUAUAUACAAUUUAAAAUUAGAAGGAUAUGGAGAAGUUUAGGAUAGCCCUUGUGAAAGGAUGACACCCAAACUCUUGAACCUUCCAUGUUUCC
rnacentral:snRNA from 1 species